UACGUAGGGGGCAAGCGUUGUCCGGAUUUAUUGGGCGUAAAGAGCGUGUAGGCGGCCAUGUAGGUCCGUUGUGAAAACUCGAGGCUCAACCUCGAGACGUCGGUUGAAACCGUACGGCUAGAGUCCGGAAGAGGAGAGUGGAAUUCCCGGUGUAGCGGUGAAAUGCGCAGAUAUCGGGAAGAACACCCGUGGCGAAGGCGGCUCUCUGGGACGGUACUGACGCUGAGACGCGAAAGCGUGGGGAGCGAACAGG
rnacentral:rRNA from 1 species